rnacentral:lncRNA from 1 species
AUGGAAAUACGAAAGAGAAUCUUCAAGAGGAACUUAAAGGAGAACAAAUUUGGAAGACCAGUGCUGCACUCAAUAUGCGAGCAAAUUUGGAAAACUCAGCAGUGGCCACAGGACUGGAAAAGGUCAGUUUUCAUUCCAAUCCCUAAGAAAGGCAAUGCCAAAGAAUGCUCAAACUACUGCACAAUUGCACUCAUCUCACAUGCUGGUAAAGUAAUGCUCAAAAUUCUCCAAACCAGGCUUCAGCAAUAUGUGAACCAUGAACUUCCAGAUGUUCAAGCUAGUUUUAGAAAAGGCAGAGGAACCAGAGAUCAAAUUGCCAACAUCUUCUGGAUCAUGGAAAAAGCAAGAGAGUUCCAGAAAAACAUCUAUUUCUGCUUUAUUGACUAUGCCAAAGCCUUUGACUGUGUGGAUCACAAUCAACUGUGGAAAAUUCUGAAAGAGAUGGGAAUACCAGACCACCUGACCUGCCUCUUGAAAAACCUGUAUGGAGGCCAGGGAGCAACAGUUAGAACUGGACAUGGAACAACAGACUGGUUCCAAAUAGGAAAAGGAGUACAUCAAGGCUGUAUAUUUUCUCCCUGCUUAUUUAACUCCUAUGCAGAGUACAUCAUGAGAAACGCUGGGCUGGAGGAAACACAAGCUGGAAUCAAGAUUGCCGGGAGAAAUAUAGAUAACCUCAGAUAUGCAUAUGACACCACCCUUAUGGCAGAAAGUGAAGAGGAGCUAAAAAGCCUCUUGAUGAAAGUGAAAGAGAAGAGUGAAAAAGUUGGCUUAAAUCUCAACAUUCAGAAAAGGAAGAUCAUGGCAUCCGGUCCCAUCACUUCAUGGGAAACAGAUGGGGAAACAGUGGAAACAGUGUCAGGUUUUAUUCUUGGGGGCUCCAAAAUCACUGCAGAUGGUGACAGCAGCCAUGAAAUUAAAAGACGCUUACUCCUUGGAAGAAAAGUUAUGACCAACCUAGAGAGCAUAUUCAAAAGCAGAGACAUUAUUUUGCUGACUAAGGUCCAUUUAGUCAAGGCUGUUUUUCCAGUAGUCAUGUAUGGAUGUGAGAGUUGGACUGUGAGGAAGGCUGUGUGCCGAAGAAUUCAUGCUUUUGAACUGUGA